CAGUUUAGUUCCCUGAGACUUUUAUUUUCUCUGGAAGGAGACAUGGAAAAUGACAGCAGCCUGAUUUAUUGGUGGUUGCAAAAUUGAUAACUGAGUCAGAGUGCCUGGGCCACCCUACCUCUGCUCGGAUGUCUGAGGAUGUUUUUUCAGAAUUGCAGCGGGCCAGAAGUGCUGUGGACUGAACACUCCUGGAAGAAUCCCACAGACAAGGACUCUUGAUUUUUCCUGUGGGAUUAAGCUCCAGUUGCCCACUGCAGGUGCCGGCUCAAUACGCACUUCUGACAGGCCGCCCUCCCCCUGCUGUGUCACUUUCCCACCCCUCUACUACUGGUACCGGAACCUUCCAAAGGCACCCACUGCAGCCGAAUCCCUGUCUCAAGGUCUCCUUCUGGGAGAAGCCACAGUAAGGUAGACGAUGUCAAGAAGAGAGCACAGGAUUUGAAAGUAGAAGAUCUGGGCUUCGUCCUGGCUCUGUCACAUGUCACAUGACUUUAGAGGGUCCUGGAUGCUCUGAAUACCACCCAUAAAUCCUGGGGUCAUAGUCCUCGUCCUGGACUUUGAGCCCCUUGGAGCUGGCCAUGCCAUAUUCAUCUUCAUUUCCUGAGCAGAGUAAUCUGAAGACAGUGUUGUUCAAUCAAUGUGCUGGAAUGAAUGAGUGAAAACCAGCCGCUUCUUUAUUUUAACUCUUUAUUUGUCCUGGCAACAAGGUAACAUGUCCCAUUUACACCCUAACCAGUUACUAGGACUAUUAUUGCACUAUAAUAAUAACCAAGUCAACAAACAUAAAAGCUGGAGAGAGGGGAGAAAGAAAAUCUAGGCAUGGGAAUUACAGCAGAAAAGCAUUUAAAAAAAUAUGCCUUUCAAAAAAGUGCUAGUGGAGACACAUGAGGGAGGAAAACAUAUAAGUAAAAAUGUAAUCAUUCUACUGGGAACAUCCGGACAUUUUCCACCUCAGCUGCAGACAAAGGGAGUGGCUUGCUUUAGAAUUUCUGUACGAGAAG